CCUCUAACUCAUAAACCUUCAUCCUCAAAAACCCUUUUAAACCCUAAUGCAACAUUCUUUCGCCCAUUUUUUCCGACUAUCCACCUCCUUCGGUACCGGUGGCUGCAGCUGGUAGAGCAGGAAUUUGGAAGUUCUGCUAUGUCCACCAAGCUCUUCCCUCGCCUCCAUCUCCUCAGCCAUCCUUUUCCUCUUCCUAGUUUUCCCUUGAUGAAGCUCCAACCCUCCAUUCGUCAAUCUCGACCAAUUCAUAUUUUCUCUCGCGUCUUCCCCUUCAAGCUCAAGUAUGCCUCUAUGGCCUUCUCUUCUCGCCCUUCCCAAACUUUUCAAGGAGUCCGACGGAGCAGCGCCGUCGGUAGAAGCUCCGAGAGAGGAGGGUUUGGUGCCUCUAAGAGUCUUGUUGAGGAUGAGGCUGAACUCAGUGAUUGGGUUAGUGACUUGAAAACAAGCUCGUUUCGUGGACGAAUUACGAGCGAUGAAGACUCGGAUGAAGAUCGUAGGCGGGGUAGAGGAAAGGAUAGGGAUAGGGAUAGGGAUGGGGAUAGGGAGUCACCGUCGUUGAAGAGGGGGAGGGGUCGACAGUCGUACGAGUUACGGGAGUCUUCAGAGCGUCGGAGACCUCGAGGCCCCUCAACAGAGUCAUAUCCGAAGAGUUCACGAAAUGUUAGUCGAUUCAAGCGUGAGUAUGAGGACGAGAGAGAAGACUUCCGUUCACGCAGUAGUGGCCGUGUUUUUGUUAGAGAGAAUGUGGGUUCUUCGAUUGGAAGGGGACGUGGGACGAGAGAGACUAAUUCGAGAAAUCAACAGAUUCCAGGUCGUGAGAGCUUAGAGAGAGGAAGGAGGGAUUCUAAGUAUCGAGCCCGUUUUACAGGUGAAAGUGAAAGCGAGGAGGACGAGGACGAGGAAGAAGAAGAUGAUGGUAAGAGAAGGAGAACUAAAACUGGUGUUAGGGAUUUUCUAGGCGAUGAAGAUAGUGCUGACGACGAGGACGAGGAAAAAGAUUUUCUGUUCGGAAAAAGUACUAAUACUUUGUUUCCAUCUGGGGAGAAAGUGAGCGAAAUGGAUCGACCACGAAAAUCUCCAGGAGGUUCUGACUCAUAUUUGAGUGAAACUAGAUUUGAUCAGUGUUCAAUAUCACCCAUAUCACUAAAGGGUAUCAAAGACGCUGGAUAUGAGAAGAUGACUGUAGUACAGGAGGCCACACUUCCUCUAAUACUAAAAGGUAAGGAUGUUCUUGCCAAAGCUAAGACAGGGACUGGAAAAACUGUGGCGUUUUUGCUUCCCUCAAUUGAAGUUGUUGUGAAGUCUCCACCUACUGGUGAUCAGAAGCGGCCUCCAAUUCUUGUUCUUGUUAUAUGCCCAACCCGAGAGCUUGCCACACAGGCUGCCAAUGAAGCUAAUACUCUUUUGAAGUACCACUCUACUAUUGGCGUUCAAGUUGUAAUAGGAGGUACAAGACUUGCCCUCGAACAGAAACGCAUGCAAGCAAACCCUUGCCAGAUUCUUGUUGCUACUCCUGGAAGGCUGAAAGAUCAUAUAGAGAAUACUGCAGGUUUUGCAACUAGACUGAUGGGUGUCAAGGUCCUUGUUCUUGACGAAGCUGAUCAUUUAUUAGACAUGGGAUUUCGCAAGGACAUUGAACGGAUUAUUGCUGCAGUUCCAAAACAAAGACAAACUCUUCUGUUUUCUGCCACUGUUCCGGAUGAGGUCCGCCAAAUCAGUCACAUUGCGUUGAGAAGAGAUCAUGAAUUUGUCAAUACAAUUCAAGAAGGCAGUGAGGACACACAUGCACAGGUGAGACAGAUGCAUAUAGUUGCUCCGUUGGAGAAGCAUUUUAGUCUGCUCUAUGCCAUUCUUAAAGAACAUAUUGCUGAUGACGUUGACUAUAAGGUUCUUGUAUUCUGCACAACUGCUAUGGUCACACGAAUGGUUGCCGACCUUCUUGGUGAGCUGAACUUGAACAUCAGAGAGAUUCAUUCUAGGAAAGCGCAGAGUUACAGAACCAAGGUUUCGGAUGAGUUCCGAAAGUCGAAAGGCCUCAUCCUUGUAACUUCGGAUGUUUCAGCUCGUGGGGUUGAUUAUCCCGAUGUGACCCUUGUCAUACAGGUUGGCUUGCCUGCUGAUAGAGAACAGUAUAUUCAUCGACUUGGUAGAACAGGACGUAAAGGCAAAGAAGGGCAAGGCAUAUUGUUGCUAACGCCUUGGGAAGAAUUCUUUUUGUCUACAGUUAAAGACUUGCCGAUAUCAAAAGCUCCUAUGCCUCUAAUCGACCCAGAAACAAAGAAAAAGGUGGACCGUGCUCUGGCCCAUGUUGAGAUGAAGAAUAAAGAAGCUGCAUACCAGGCGUGGCUUGGUUACUAUAACUCAAACAAGACGGUUGGAAGGGACAAGUAUAGACUGGUUGAACUUGCCAAUGAGUUCAGUCGAAGCAUGGGACUCGACAAUCCUCCGGCCAUUCCCAAACUAGUACUUGGGAAGAUGGGUCUCAAAAAUAUCCCUGGCUUACGUGUAAAAUAAUUUGAAAGGAAGUUGCGGCUUAUAAUAGAGAAGGUAUGAAGGAAACGGUUCUUGCACCGGAAAGUGAGGUGAAGGCAUUUCCUUGAAGAAACAAUUGAAGUACUUUUAGUGUGAAAAAAGUUUGUGAAUUUUGAGAAGAUUUUGGAGAAGGAAAAAGGAGAAAGAAGCUACAUUGCAGCAAUUAUAGUGAAGUUAUGAAUAUUUAGAAACUAAACCUACGACACAAGAGGAGAUUGCGAAGAGAUGUCCUGCAUGUAGCAAGAAGGCCCAUCUAUGAAAUGAGAUUCCACCUUUUCAGCAGUGGAUCGUGCAUUUUGUGAAAUGAGAUGUCAGGUUUUCAAUGUGUUCAUUUUAGCCUUCUCAUCUUUGCCAUAAAAUGUUUCUGUUGAUUAAUUCAAACAUCCUGGUUGUUUUGAUAGAGCAAAACAUUUAACCUUUGCAAUGAAAAAAUAUUUCUAUAUGAUAA